rnacentral:misc_RNA from 1 species
UUCGGAUGAACAUGCAUGGAGAAGCAGGGAUUCAGGAUGUGCAAUGCCAUCAUACGAAAGCAAAGAAGUAGAAAAUAUGAAUGACGUAAGAACUUCUUUGGGAGAGAACGGGGUUCAACAUCAGCCAUAUGCUUCUAAUGGCAAAGAAGAGUUCAAGAUACCGAAUGAAUCCAGUUGUGCUGUUAAUGGUAGAAAGCCAUCUAGCGUGUUCGAG